rnacentral:lncRNA from 1 species
CUCUAAAUCAAAAACACUAAACACUAAAACAUUCAAAGAUUUAGGGUUUAGGAUUUAGAGUUUAGGAUUUAGUGUUUUAGUGUUUAGUGUUUUUUAUUUAGAGUGUAGGAUUUAUCCAAGAGUUUGAGGUUUAUCCAAGAGUUUAAGGUUUACCCAAGGGUUUAGAGUAGUGUUUUGCUAUAUAUUUUUAAAAUUAUUUUUAUAACUACUAUUAUUUUUUAUUUUUUAUUUUUUUAUUUUUAUUAUUUAUUUUUUUUUUGUUUUUUUUUAAAAAAGAUCGAAUAUAAAAUAACAGCUAAUAACUCCUCCCACUCAAAC